ensembl:snRNA U1 U1 spliceosomal RNA
AUACUUUCUUAGCAGGGGAGACAUCAUGAUCAUGUUGACGGUAUUCCCAGGGCAAGGCUCACCCAUUGCACUUGGGGUGUGCCGACCCCUGCGAUUUCCCAGUGAGAACCAGUGAGCCCCCAGCCUGCUCCUUACCUCUCUGGGAAUGACAGUUUCUCCAUUUC